GGGAAGAGGUUAAUGUGGCAAACCCUGCAACUAGAACUGAUCAUUCUGUGUGAAUGAAGGACUUUCACCAAGGGAAUAACUAACCGAAUGGACUUUCUUGUUAUAUUGCUGUUUUUAGGCGAAUGGCCGAAACUACCAAACGUGAGACCACCCCGGGAUGGUCGUGUGUUGCUAAUUAACGGACCGAUACAAUGUUGCGAGGGAAUUAAGUGC